rfam:Camelus ferus unplaced genomic scaffold scaffold1174, whole genome shotgun sequence.
GGGGUUAUAGUUCAAGUGGUAGAGUACAUGGUUAGCAUGCAUGAGGUCCUGGGUUCAAUCCCCAGUACUUCCU